rnacentral:tRNA from 1 species
ACCUGGCUGGCUCAUUCGGAAGAGCAUGUGACUCUUGAUCUCCCGGUCAUGAGUUCAAGCCCAUGUUGGGUG